AGAGUUUGAUCAUGGCUCAGAGCGAACGCUGGCGGCAGGCCUAAUACAUGCAAGUCGAACGGCUCUUCGGAGCAGUGGCGGACGGGUGAGUAACGCGUGGGAACGUGCCCUUUGGUUCGGAACAACACAGGGAAACUUGUGCUAAUACCGAAUGUGCCCUUCGGGGGAAAGAUUUAUCGCCAUUGGAGCGGCCCGCGUUGGAUUAGCUAGUUGGUGGGGUAAAGGCCCACCAAGGCUACGAUCCAUAGCUGGUCUGAGAGGAUGAUCAGCCACACUGGGACUGAGACACGGCCCAGACUCCUACGGGAGGCAGCAGUAGGGAAUCUUGCGCAAUGGGCGAAAGCCUGACGCAGCCAUGCCGCGUGAAUGAUGAAGGUCUUAGGAUUGUAAAAUUCUUUCACCGGGGAAGAUAAUGACGGUACCCGGAGAAGAAGCCCCGGCUAACUACGUGCCAGCAGCCGCGGUAAUACGUAGGGUGCGAGCGUUAAUCGGAAUUACUGGGCGUAAAGGGCGCGUAGGCGGACAUUUAAGUCAGAGGUGAAAGCCCAGGGCUCAACCUUGGAAUUGCCUUUGAUACUGGAUGUCUUGAGUUCGGGAGAGGUGAGUGGAAUGCCGAGUGUAGAGGUGAAAUUCGUAGAUAUUCGGCGGAACACCAGUGGCGAAGGCGACUCACUGGCCCGAUACUGACGCUGAGGCGCGAAAGCGUGGGGAGCAAACAGGAUUAGAUACCCCGGUAGUCCAA
rnacentral:rRNA from 1 species